AUAAAACCGCCUAACAUGGCAUGGCAGAAGCCACCACCUGUAAGAAGGCCAUGAAGAUGGGAGUCUAGUUGCCUUUUCUUUUUCAGUCUCCGGUAUGUUUCUUUUUCUCAUUUUUAUUUUCUUAUAGAGUAAAAGACAUCAGAAGCACACUUAAAUGCUUUUGAUUUGCUAUUUCCCUGUUGCAUUAGCACAUAUGCUCAUCAUGUCAAGUAGUUCUUUAGCUUUGUUAAAUGCUUAAACAGUUUGCAUUCCAGUUUUGACAUGUUCCUUAAUUAUUCUUGAAGUUUCAGGUUUUGGCAUCAAUAGUUGUAGAAUGGCCGAUUGUUGCAGAUGUUGAGCAAAGUUGGUUUUCUGAGCAUAUAAUUCAUGCAGAUGUUUCUGAUUCUAUACCAACCAGGUUCAUCUAAUCAGUUGGUGUAUUCACCUGAAGUAACGAAAAGCAUUCAAUUCUAUCUGUAGUCUGAUUGAUCUUUACCUAGUAGCCACUUUGACAAUGUUACUUGGAUAAGUCUUCAAGAGAAUGAUUGCCGGUAGAAACCCCGAUGGCCCAACUUUUCUUUGUUUGUAAAUGCAAUUUUCUAAUGACUAUUUACGGCGAUGGAAUUUACUUGAUGGUGAAAAGAAACUCUUGCCAUGAAUUAUACCAAAUGAUGCAGUCAAUUGAAGAAAGGAUCAGAAGUUUUCGUAUUCUUGCUUAGAACUCUUUUCACUUAUAGAUAUGCAUGCAAUCACUAUCAUACCGUGUUUCUCUUCACAAGAAAGCUAAAAGCUGACAGGUGUGGAGCAGAUUGGAAAUAAUUUGUAUUGGUCUAGCCGGCUUUUACUGGUGGUUUGCACUUCAAUUAGAAGAUUGGAAGUGUUAGAAAAAGGUUUCUGAGAAUACGAUUUAGGAUAAUGUGUAAAGAAUUUGUUGGGAUCAUCAAGAUUCAAGGUUUGUACCAUCCACAUGGAACUUAACUUGUUUCACUCCUUUUUGCUUGUCGAUUUUUUUUUGGGAUUUAGACUAAUAUUCUCUGAAGAGUACUUCCCAAUCCAACAGGCACUUGCAUAUGAGCCAUGACCGACGUUUGGCUGUGAUCUGGUAAGUCUUAUCAAGCCUCUCGUUCCGUUGCCAACUUUUAAUCUCUUCGGUCGAACAACGAGGAUGGCGGAUAAAAAUAGCAGCCCCGAACAAAAAUCCACAGGGAAAUGGAGCGGAUGGUGGUUGGAGAAGGAUGAAGCUGACGCCUGUCACCCCAUCUCCUCCUCUUCCUCUUCCGACAACGCCUUCCCUCUCCUAACGAGAAGAAGAGUAGUCGUUCUUCAAUUUUCGUGGCUAUAAUCCAAUUCUUCUUUUAGCUGUCCACCUUCUCAGACCUGUUCAUUGUUUUCGUGAUCAUUUGCUGGUCCUCAAGUAAGAAACCACGUUAAACAUGUAGAAUUCGAGAUAUGUGAAGAUUUCGACGUUAAUUUUCGUUAGAUUUUUUUUUUCUCUGUGAAGAGAAAAAAAAUUGUCUUUUUGUUCUCAUGGCGUUCUGUAAUCUGCAGGUUUGACGUAGACGGGACGGGCGAUUACGAGGAGGGUGGAGUCUUCUGCAGCUCGCACUCCAUCCUCGCGAAAUGGCAUCGUCCCCUGUGGCUGCUCCGCCACCCGACGCCUCGUCUACGCCCUCUCCUCCCGCCCCUGACGCGCCCCCUCCCUCCGACCCUUCGUCCUCAGCACCUCCGCCCACGUCAUCCCCUCCGCCAGCUACGUCGUUACCACCGCCACCGGUCCAGUCUCCGCCUCCGUCAUCGCUGCCGCCCCAAUCUCCACCGCCGUCAUUACCGCUGCCACAGUCUCCGCCUCCGUCACCGUCGUUGCCCCAGUCUCCGCCGCCGUCACCGCCUCCGUCACCGCCGUUGCCCCAGUCUCCGCCGCCGUCACCGCCUCCGUCACAGCCGCUGCUCCAGUCUCCGCCUCCGUUAUCGCCACCUUCAUCGACACCUCCCACGACCACCCCGAACGCGCCACCUCCUCGGAACUCUCCGCCUCCCCCCUCGUCCUCCUCUUCCCCAAAACCACCCUCCUCUACGUCGUCUCCACCUUCAUCCACUCCACCGUCACUACCAAGCUCGUCCUCUUCUUCGCCUCCACCACCCAAGUCGAACGACGCGACGUCGCUACCGCUGCAGCCACCAUCACCACCUCAGCCAAUCUCACCGACGACCCCUUCUUCUUCAGCAGCACUGUUACCGCCACCCCCAAGAAGCCCCUCAAAGUCGGUGCCUUCGCACGGUGCAAGACCUUCGCCGAGCAAGGAUUCCAGCACACCUUCGAAGAGUGAUCACUCCGGCUUGAAUCUGCCCCUCGUAUUGGGGUUCACCGCAGGUGUCGGGAUCUUCGUCGUGUUGAUGAUUAUAGCACUGGUGCUGUACGCUAGGAACAAAAAGAAGCCGCAUCAAUACUAUGAUGCUGCAGGCUCACAAGGUAAUCUCAAACUCACUUUGCUUCAUGAUGGCAAUCCGUCGAUCCUUUCUACAAACCUGUGAUGCUUGUUCGAUAUGGCGUAGGUGGCUUCUACAAUGCCGGAUCGCUUCCGAACUGGCAAAAUGGAGCCCAGAGGAAGGAUCACAAUGGCAACAUCCCCCCACCUCCAGGAGUAGUAGUCCCACCUGGAGGUGGAUGGCAGGCAUCAUCGAUGAUGUCCAACAGCGAUAUAAGCUCAGCGUACUCCGGCCCCCAUGUUUCUUCGCCAUCGACCCCUUCACCUAACAUUUCCUUGGGCUUUAACAAGAACCACUUCAGCUACGAGGAGCUAUCAGCAGCUACAAAUGGAUUCAGUCGAGAUCACAUCCUGGGGCAAGGUGGAUUUGGUUGCGUGUACAAAGGUGUGCUCCCUAACGGGAAGGAGGUUGCCGUGAAGCAGCUCAAGUCGGGAAGUGGGCAAGGGGAGAGGGAGUUCCAAGCUGAGGUCGAAAUCAUCAGCAGAGUCCACCAUCGCCACUUAGUAUCUCUUGUUGGAUACUGCAUCGCUGGAUCUCAGAGGAUGCUUGUCUAUGAUUUUGUACGCAACAAGACCCUCGAGUUCCACCUUCAUGGUAAUGCCUGUUUCUGCUGGUCCUCAUUUCUCAUGAACAGAUCAAAUAAAUCAUCAGGAAGAACUCCUAAGAAUCAAAUCAUAUUUACUGUUUCAUUGUGUUUUGAAUUUGAUCCAAUGAAUUGCUUUCUUCAUUUGCAGGGAAAGGUCUUCCAACAAUGGAUUGGCCUACACGACUCAAGAUCGCCAUCGGAUCAGCUAAAGGCCUUUCUUACUUGCAUGAAGACUGUGAGUACAAACAUGUUCUUCCUCUCACAAGAAUUCAUCAUUUGUUCCUACUUCUGCAUCUCAAUGUGCAAUCUUUGUGUAGGCCAUCCUCGGAUUAUCCACCGUGACAUAAAAACUGCAAACAUUCUCCUGGAUAAUAAUUUUGAGGCCAUGGUAGGAUGUCCUUCACAAACAUUUUGCACUGUGAAUGAACCAGAAUUUGACCGUCGAUUUCACUUCUUAUUUAGGUUGCAGACUUUGGAUUGGCCAAAAUUUUUUCUGAUACAAACACGCACGUCUCAACUAGAAUCAUGGGAACCAUUGGGUAACAUAUUUCAUGGACUAACUCUACUGCCUGUCUUUAGAAGAUAGAUAGAUGUGAUGUUCUUGAAUUUGUGUAGGUACUUGGCUCCUGAGUAUGCAUCAACCGGGAAGCUAACCGAGAAAUCCGAUGUUUUCUCCUACGGUGUGAUGCUUCUGGAGCUGAUAACAGGACGGAGGCCUAUCGACGAUUCAGACACAUUCAUGGUGGAUAGCUUGGUCGAUUGGGUCAGUGUGCCACUUCAAACACCAUCUUCUGUAUCAAAGCGUUGGUUGGUUCUCAGAUAUAUGCUUUGUCGGAACAGGCACGACCUCUCUUAGCCCAGGCAUUGGCUGAUGACAAAUUUGAUGAGCUUGCUGAUCCGCGCUUGGAGAACAGCUAUGACACUGUGGAAAUGGUACGAAUGGUGGCAUGUGCUGCUGCUUGUGUUCGACAUUCUGCCAAGGGGCGACCUAUGAUGAGCCAGGUAAAAUGUGUUCGCAUCUCCAUCUUUCUUCCUCGCAUUGUUUCCAGGCUCAACUGGGAACCAACGAUUGAUUAAUCUGAUACAGAUCGUUCGAGCAUUGGACGGGGAUGUCUCACUAGAAAUCCUGAACGAGGGGUCAAAGCGUGGACAGAGCACAACCUUCAGCUCCAGCUCAGACUACGACGCCAGCUUAUACUCCUCCAACAUGAAGCACUUCAGAACAGUUGCGCUCGAAAGCAACGAUUACAGCAAUGGGUACAGCGGAGCAACCAGUGAGUACGGGCUUAACCCAUCGGAGACGAGCAGCUCUGGCGACGUAAUCUCCCCGGACAGUCCAAAAAAGCACUCUUAUCAUCGUCUUUGAACACCAAGAGAACAUUAUAGAACAAGAUCUACUAAUGGAGAGACGAGUCUCUCUCAUCAGUUGCGUCAGAUGUAUUAUAGUCCUGUGUUGUUUAAUCAUUUGGUCAGUGUCUAACGAUGUAUCUAUAAUCUGAUAUGUGUUCUAAUGCUGUUACUAGCAGCUUGAUUUAUUGGAGGACUAAUUCUAACCUCUCCGGUUAUCUAUUUAUUCGGAUCGUGGACGAAGGAAUCCCUCGUGGAUUUCCACCUGGCUGUCAUCCGACCCGUUAAGGCCAGUGAAUCAAAAAUAUCGAAUCCAAUUUAUCUAGUUUUCCGGAUCAAGAACGAACGGAGCUGUCUUGGAUCCGACCCGUUAACGAGGCUCAUAAAAGCAAUCGCCCCUCUCGCGCUCUCGCGCACCUGUCCGGAGCGCUCGUCGACGGAGCCAUCGCUGCUGCUUCUGUCUCGGUUUCCUCCUCCUCUUCCUACUCCAAAUCCCAUCCUACUUGCCUCUCUCGGUUGGUCUUAUUAAAUCCCGCCACCUGGGAUGAUGGCUCGGCCCUACGUCGUGAAGAAGGACGACGAUCAUGACGAUGAAGGUUCGUUUCUAACCCUACGAUUCCUGUGCUUUUAGACCGAUCUUUGCAUUCCGAUUGUUUCUGUAGGAGAUCCCUAUUUCGUUUUUCCGUCAUUGUGCUCAAAUUCCAGGUAUUUUUUAUUCUUUUCUUGGUUGUAGUAUUGAUGUAUUGGAAUGAGAGUUUUCGAGACAGAUAGGCGCCGGUAGAUGACGGAUUGGUUUGUUGAAUAUUUCUUUUAAUUUAAUUCAAUUUGGAUCAAGAACUCGGUCUUCUUCGUGUUGAAGUGAUAGAAAUGUCUACCCUUUUGUUAUUGCACGUAAUGCAGCAAGUUUUGGGUAUUCAGAUUUAGAAGGAAAAUAUCCUGGAAAAGAGAAUUUAAUUUUUAGCUUAACUGUCUGGUUCUUGCAGCGGAGUACUCUCCAUUUCUAGGUUUAGAGAAGGGCACAGUUCUCCAGGAGGCCAGAGUUUUCAAUGACCCCCAACUUGAUGCCAGGAGAUGCGCUCAGGUUACUGAGAACAACCUAGAUUUAGUGCUAUGUCAUAAUUUAAUUUUCAUUAGUAUUGUAAUGUCACUAAUUCGGUUGUUGUUUUAUUUGGAAAUUAUAGGUUAUAACAAAACUCCUAUAUUUGCUUAAUCAAGGGGAAGCUUUUACAAAGGUUAGCCUGAGAUCAGUGCUGUUUGUUUUAUCUUCAAUUUGCGCAUUUGUCAUAUUUUACGUAUCAUGUUUUUCUUUUCAUUUUAUAGGUGGAGGCCACAGAAGUUUUCUUUGCUGUAACAAAAUUAUUCCAGUCCAAGGAUACAACACUAAGGAGAAUGGUUUAUUUGAUAAUUAAAGAGCUUUCACCCUCCGCUGACGAGGUAUAGAUGCCAGUUUUCUCUAGCCAGAGUGUUUCAGAUUCAUAUUAGUUUUUGCCUGGAACCUGAGUUCUUGAAUUGCUUGUCAUAGGUCAUUAUCGUCACAAGUUCUUUGAUGAAAGAUAUGAAUAGUAAGAUUGACAUGUAUAGGGCCAAUGCAAUUCGUGUUCUUAGUAAAAUUACUGAUGGUACUCUUCUUAUGCAAAUUGAAAGAUAUUUGAAGCAAGCAAUUGUUGACAAAAACCCUGUUGUUGCCAGCGCUGCACUUGUCAGUGGCAUUCACUUACUGCAGGUACAUACAUCACUCUCAGUCAUGUGGCAAUGGUUUAGUAUCUUAUCUUAUCUUAUAUCUUAAUUUACACUUCAAAUUCUAACAGACAAAUCCAGAAAUAGUUAAAAGAUGGAGCAAUGAGGUACAAGAAGGUGUUCAGUCCAGGGCUGCUCUUGUUCAAUUUCAUGCACUUGCUCUUCUUCACCAGGUGCAUCAUCAUAUCUUAUGUUUGAUUAAUUAUCUCUUAAAAAUGAAACCUGGAAGUGUGAAUUUGCUAACGCUGUAGGAGAACUUGAAUGGCAUGAAAAAUGUUAUCUCUGCAUAUUUGAGUUUGAAUUAUGCCCAUUUCCAUCACCUAUUUUCAGAAGUGGAAUAUUCGUGCGCAAAAUUAUCUUGUUUUCAUAUCCUAGGAUAGAUAUGACAAUCAUGGUUGGAUUAAUAGGCCUUGUUCAAUUGUUAGCUUAGCACAAACCAGGGUCUGUCGUACCGAACCGUACCGUCCGGUACGUACCGGUCCGAUAGGUUGUCGGUACGCGGACCUCCUGGGACCAGUCCGAGUGCACUGUAGCACUGUAGCAGUGCUACAGUACUCGGCACACCUAGGUGUACCGCUCGGUACACCGUACCAUACCGGUACCGAGCCCAGGUCGAAAUACCGGUAUGGUACGGUAUUACGAACCUUGGCACAAACUAUAAGGAAUAUCGCCAGGAGGACCAAUCAAUUAAAUGAAGGUGGAGAGAUUUGUACAUAGUUAAUAAAGAGUAUAAAUAACACUCAACAGACAUUUAAACAUAAUUUAGCCAGCCCAGCAAGAAAACAUUUGUUUUUUCAUAUCAUUAUGUUGUUGAAAACCUAGAAUUUUGUAUUGAUGAUUGUUUUGUUUUACUUGCAGAUAAGACAAAAUGACCGCUUGGCUGUAAGCAAGCUUGUUACUAGCUUGACAAGAGGAUCAGUUCGAUCACCUUUAGCCCAGUGCCUUCUAAUAAGAUACACAAGCCAGGUACUUUUUGGAUUGUGACAGUUUGAGCAAAGAAAAUUACAAGAAAUUAAACCCAUCUUUUCAGGUAAUUCAUGAGUCAAGCAUGAACUCACAAACAGGAGAGCGUCCGUUUUUUGAUUACCUUGAAUCCUGUCUGCGACAUAAAGCAGAAUUGGUCAUCUUUGAAGCUGCAAGAGCAAUUACAGAGCUGAGUAGCGUGACCAGUCGAGAGUUGUCACCUGCAAUCACUGUUCUACAGUUAUUUCUUAGUUCAUCCAAGCCAAUUCUUCGUUUUGCAGCUGUUCGAACUUUAAAUAAGGUCGUUCAUUAUUUUGACAUAGUAACCAAUUAAUCUUAUUCUGUCAUACCAUACCCGAUACAAGCUUUGCGAAGAUCAUCAUCGUGGCUGUUUGUCUGCUAAAUGUCUUAAAGCAAGACUUUAAUUUCAGGAUUACUGACUAACAAUAUCCUUUUUUUUUUCUUUUAUUCAUAACUAUUACAAAGUGUAAUUUGCAUGCCCUGCAAAAGCUUAUGUUAUCUGAAAACUUUGGAUAAAAAGAAAACAAAUCUGGUAUACCUUCAACUAUGAUAUAUAUCUUAUAUGACAAUCUAAAGCCCUUUUUUUUAUCUUCCACUCCUGUGUUUUCACUUUUAGCUCUGGUUCUGACCACUUUAACUGAAGUGAAACAAUGUUUUAGAUUUCUAAUUCUUAGGCAUGCAAUAGAGUGGAAGAACUUGAUAUAAGAUCUCGGAGUACCGUAAAAAUACAUGGUUUGUGUUAUUCUUUAUUGGCUCUCUGACUAUUUCAUUUUUCAUGUAAUCCAAGCACAUUUACUUCAGUUAACUGAAAAAAAUGAGGAUGACUCUGUGCACUAGACUCUCGCCAAUGCAAGGUCAGGGACGGAUUAAUGCAUGCAAUAUUUCCAUUAGAAAUUGAGAGACUAUUUUCUUGAGAGACAUACAAUCGUAAUUUUCAGAAAUCAUGGUGGUAAACUUCCAUUAACAUGUGGUACACCAAGACAAUGUGCUAUAUAAUAUGAUAUUAUCAUCCUUCAUGCAUUUCUUGUAGUGGUCAAUUACUCCUUUCUUUUUUCUCUAUUAUAUUUCUAGUAUCAAUUAUGUGUGAACGUAACUAGGUUGAGUACUUUCAUAUACUGUUUUUAAAAGCACUAGGCACUAGGCACCAAGGUCCCAAAACGAAUGAGAUGCUAGGUGCUCGCCUGAGUGAAGUGAGGCACUCUAGAAUAUUAAAAUAUAAAAAAUAUAUGUGGAGGAAGGUGGGGGAAGGAGAAUAGGAGUAACCGCCGGCUAGGCUAUGGAAGAAGGUGGGGAAGGAGAAGGUGGUAGAGGAAGUUGUAGAUGAAGGCAAUAGUGGGGGAGGAAGCUACGAACGAAGGUGGUAACAGAGGAAGUUGCGGACGAAGCUGGCAUCAGUGGAGAUAGCUGCGGACAAAAGCAUUGGUGACAGAGGAAGUUUUAGACAAAGGUGGCGGCGGCGGAGGGAGUUGUGGAUGAAGGCAGCGAUAGCCGACGUAGGGUUUCACUUCAAAGACAAGCUAGGGCUGAGUCGGGUGCAAGGGGCGGGUUUUGUGUUAGGGCACUUUGGUUGGUUAGAUUGAACCAACUUGCUUAUUUAAUCGAACCAACCUGAUCCAUUCUUCACUCGGGUGCUCGCUAGAGGCGCGCGACACCUGGGCUCAACCGAGCGCCCGUGUGGUGCUUCAUUGAAACGCCUUGCCCAGAGGUUGUGCGAGGCGCUCGAGCCUUACCUCACCUUGCCCGGGCACCUAGGCUAGUGCCCAAGCGCCUUUUAAAAACACUGCUUUCACAUUCCCAAAAUAGUUCAAUGAGAUAUAGAUGGAUAUUCUAGGAGUAACCUAAGUUGUGUUAUGAGCUUUAAUUAUUCAUAUCUCAUCAUGGUUAAUGAUCAUAAGUAUUCCUCACAGGUUGCUAUGACACAUCCUUUGUCAGUUACAAGUUGCAAUAUUGAUAUGGAAAGCUUAAUCUCAGACCAAAACAGGAGCAUUGCUACUCUUGCUAUUACUACACUACUUAAAACAGGCAACGAAUCAAGUGUGGAUCGCUUGAUGAAACAAAUAACCAAUUUUAUGUCAGAUAUUGCUGACGAGUUCAAGAUUGUUGUUGUGGAAGCUAUACGAUCCUUGUGCUUGAAGUUCCCUCUCAAGUACCGGUCAUUGUAUGUGGAGUGUGACUGCAUCAAGUUUUUAUUUAUGCAAAAUUCUUAUAUAGGUGAAUUUAAAAUUUGAUUUUUAUGCAACUAUCAUCCAGGAUGAAUUUCUUAAGCAACAUUCUUAGAGAAGAAGGGGGCUUCGAAUACAAGAAAGCAAUUGUUGAUUCAAUUGUCAUCCUUAUAAGAGAUAUACCAGAUGCUAAAGAAAGUGGUUUAUUUCACCUCUGUGAAUUUAUAGAGGAUUGUGAAUUCACCUAUCUUUCUACUCAGGUAAUUUUAUGCGUUUUCUGUUUUAGUUUUUUGAAUACUGAAUCUUGAUGAAUUUGCCAAGUUAAGAAAAUGAUCCAACAUUCUUAAUUUAUGUAUUUCUCAUGCUAUAGAGGCAGUCGACAUCAGAUUUAAAUUUUGAUUCAUUCUAUGACUAGGAGCAUGCAUAGUUUUGAGCAGCGGCUAAAGCUAUUAUUUGUGUAUUUUGGAACCUCUUGUAUCUUGAUCCUCACAAUAUUUUUCAUAUUUCACCUUCAGUUCUACAUAGUUCAUGAGCUGUAAAUGAAAAGGUGAAUGACUAGGUCUGUUUCAGUGAUUGCAAUGUUUGUUGCUUCAUUUGUUUGAAUCCAGUUACUCAUAAUUUAUAUUGAUUUCGCUAGAUACUUCACUUCAUUGGAAAUGAAGGGCCAAAGACUUCAGACCCCAGUAAAUAUAUUCGAUAUAUCUACAAUCGCGUUAUACUAGAAAAUGCAACAGUUCGAGCUAGUGCUGUAAGUACCUUGGCAAAGUUUGGAGCCAUGGUCGAUUCCUUGAAGGUACUACAUAUUUGUAGUGGUCCUAUAGGUAUUUUCUUUGGUUGAUAAUUCAUAUCUCUUGUUCGUGCUGAAUUUUGAUGAAUUACUUUUGCAGCCUCGUAUACUUGUCCUGCUCAGACGCUGCCAGUUUGAUAUUGAUGAUGAGGUAAUGAAUACAUGUUCUUAACAUGAUCAUAUAUUUUGAGAAUGCAUUGUAGGUGUGUCUUCUAUUGGGCAUGUUGAAUUUAAAUCAGUAAAGUAUCCUUGGUUCAUUCUAUCGUAAUCUUUUAGCUUUCAAUUUAUUUAUAGCUUUCUUCCUCCUGGCACCACAGUUGAUUAGGGGUUUGAGUUUGUACCAACCUAUGUUUCUAAAUAAUAUCUGUUUGAGGAACAACCUUGUCUCCAUUGGAGCAAUGUACCUGACCAUAAUGUUUAGUUAGGAUCAUGUUAAUGUUACACUGUCAGUUACAUGUUGCAGGUCUGCAAGUGUCUUAAAGAUUAAAGAGUAACCAAAUUGUUCUUUCUUGUGCCCAUGAUUUGUCCCAGGUUCGGGACCGUGCAACACUUUAUCUAGAUACUCUUGGAGGUGAUGCUUCAGUUGGUGAAACUGAAAAAUAUGUAAAAGACUUUCUUUUCGGUUCAUUAGAUGUGCCACUUGUCAACUUGGAGAAAAGCUUGCGAAGCUAUGUAUGUUCUUUAUUGCCUAGGCUGGAGUCGUAUGAUUGUCUCUUUCCAGCUCUUCUCAUAUUUACUUUUACUGUGAAUCAGGAGGCUUCAGACAUGCCUUUUGACAUUUAUUCUGUACCAAAGGAAAUUAAGUCACAGCCUCUUGCCGAGAAAAAGGCUCCUGGUAGAAAGCCUACUGGUUUAGGAGGUCCUCCUUGUGCACCUGUUUCAGCUGUUGAUGCAUAUGAAAAGUUGCUUUCAUUGAUUCCUGAAUUUUCCAGCUUUGGAAAACUCUUUAAGGUUCCUACAUGAUAUGUAUUAUAGAAGACUAACAUAAUUUUUUAUGUAUUUUCUACUAGCUUAUAUUUGUCUAUUUUUUGUCAGUCAUCUACACCUGUGGAGUUGUCAGAAGCUGAAACCGAAUAUGCAGUUAAUGUAGUUAAGCACAUCUAUGAUGGGCACGUUGUAUUUCAGUACAACUGCACAAAUACCAUACCAGAACAGCUUCUUGAAAAUGUAAUUGGCUAUGUCUCAGUAUGCUGAUCAUUUUGUAUAUUAUUAAAAUGCUUUGGAACAUCACUUGCGUUGUCUCUGUUUCUUUUACGUUGCCAGGUUACUGUUUUUGUUGAUGCUUCUGAAGCUGAGGAUUUUUCUGAGGUUGCAUCAAAGCCUUUGAGAUCCUUACCUUAUGAUUCACCAGGACAGACUUUUGUGGCUUUUGAAAAGCCAUAUGGUCUUCCCGCUACUGGAAGAUUUUCAAACUUGUUGAAGUUCUUUGUUAAAGAGGUAUGAUCAUUUUGAUGAUUUGAUUUGCUUGCAUUUGAUUUGUUGUCAUGCUUGUCUCUUGUUUGAUAUUGAGGCAAGGGGAUUUACGUGUCAUUUUCUACUCCAGAUUUAUAUAACAACAAUUGUGAUGCAGCAAACAAGAUGUGUAAAAUCUUAUCCAUUUUCUACUCCAGAUUUAUAUAGCAACAAUUGAGAAUUAUCAGUCAUCCAUUGGAAGUCCAAGCAAUAAUCGACAUGGAUGAUGCAAUAUAAUGAUUAAAAAUGUUGCAAAGAGUGCCUUUUUACGUGCGAUUUAUGUUCGACAAAUUGGUAGAAUGCAUGAAAUCAAGUGCAUGAAUGUUGUUGUGGGACAUGGCAUGUAUCAAGGUUUGGUGAAAAUAAAAAAGAUGUAUGUGUUUUUCGGGUUUCCUAACUUUUAGAAGAUGAAGAAGGAAAUAGAUAUCGGGAUUUUAAGUUUCAAAUUGUUAAAAUAGUAAAAGGCAACUUUAUUUGCCAUACAGUUACAGACCCCUUGUACAAUUUAAAGUACAUUUUAUCUUCUUAUGAGGCAUACAAAGCAUGCCUUCUGUAGGAGUGCAAUUUUACAGCUUUUAUGUUUGUUGUUUUAACAUCACAGCAUGUGCAAAAAUCCAACCGUUCUCUUGUUUGGCUGCAGGUUGAUCCAGCCACAGUGGAGGCAGAAGAAGAAGGGGUUGAAGAUGAAUACCAGCUAGAAGAUCUUGAAAUUGUCCCAGUUGAUUACAUGCUGAAGGUUGGAGUCUCCAAUUUCAAAAAUGCUUGGGAAAGUAUGGCCCCAGACAAUGAGAGGGUCGAUGAGUAUGGGCUUGGUGCUAGGGAGAGCUUGGCAGAAGCUGUGUGUUCUGUCAUAAACAUUCUAGGCAUGCAGCCUUGUGAGGUUAGUUGGUGUUUCAGCUUCUUGUAUUCUAAAUGAUUGUUAUGCCGGUAUUUUUUUUGUAUUCAGUUAAGAGUAGCUAGACAGUAGGCAUUGUUUUUUCCUGGUAGCUUCUGUUGUCUAAUAUUGAGAUCAAGCAUUACAACACCGGUCAUUUGGCUGUUGGCAGGGUACUGAGGUGGUGCCGAGCAAUUCGAGGUCACAUGCUUGCUUGUUGUCGGGAAUAUUCAUCGGUAAUGUGAAGGUGCUAGUCAGAUUGUCAUUCGGAGUCGAUGAGUCUAAGCAGGUUGCCAUGAAACUUGCAGUUAGAUCCGAAGACCCAAACAUCAGUGAGAGAAUUCAUGAAAUCGUUGCUGAAGCCUAAAUGCAAAUGUUACUGGUCUCCAAUUCUUUUUUUUCCCCCACAAUGACACAGAAUGAAGAGUAUCUCCCUACAUAUUGCUCUUUUUGUUGCUCGGUCAGCGUUCUUUUGGAAGUCAAUGCUGUAAUCUUAUGAUCUCCAAUCCUGAUCAUAUGAUUAAAUCAACUAAGCUGGAUCUUGCUGCUGGACCAGAAUAGGCUUGGAUGAGCAGUUGGUGAUGGGUUACAUUAGAUCAUGUCAUGAAUUUUUGAUGUCAAACACUCCUGAAAUGAGUGGUUUGUUCUCUCAGUUUUCAACUUGUAAAUGUGAGAAGAAAGAUUUGAAAUGACUAUUAUGACCAUGACGUGCGUAAAUGUCAAAGAGGUUUUAAGAUUUGCCAUGCUGAUAUGUGCUCGCUGCAGGUGCUCUCGGCGUAGAAGAUGCAGUACAGAAGCUUGGAAGGAAGGAGCAUAUGCAGUACAGCCUUUGCCACCAACCUUAGGUAAUGAAUUGAGUCCUACCAUUGUAUGUUAACUUGCAAGUUCCUCGGCCAACUUUAGAUUACUUACUGUCUUCCAUAUAAAUAAAAUAAAUAGCUAAUGCUGACACAUGACAAAUCCUUGAUGAGAACAAGCAGAAGCUUCGUUCACCGAGUGUCUCAUAACCUUGUCGGGGUGGAACCACAAAACCGAAGACAAAAGCGUAAGCAUGGAUGGGUUUCUGCUGUAACGCGGCUAAAACCAGAUCGAAAUUAAAUUUGAUGGUUCAUAGUGCAAUCAAUUAGAUCAUGUAAGGAUCACAUGAACGAAGACUUAGAUCUGAUACUUCAAAGUACGAUCAUAAACCAACGAAUUUGAGAUUAAAAGGCCAGAUAAUAAUAAUAAAAAAUGAUUCCAUUGCCGGGAUUUGAACCCGGGUCGCCUGGGUGAAAGCCAGGUAUCCUAACCGGACUAGACGACAAUGGAAUGUGUUAGGAUUUGAACGCAGAUAUUAUUAAUAUAUAAAUUUUAGUGUGGUCACAUACAAACAACUUUCGUGUCGAGUUGAUUGCAGGAUUUGAUCACGAGGCCUACAAAAAUAAAAUUAUGUUGUUGUGACCAACAAAUUUCUCUAUGAUGUUUAAUCUAGUACCGUUGAGAAGGGUAGUGCUGAGUUUUUAGUAUUCAGAUAUUCAAGUGAGUCAACGUAUCUAAGUUUCUUUUUAUAUGUAUAGUUGUAUGAUGAGAAAAUAUCAUUGACACUUUUAUCAGUUCGACAUAGUUUGGAUAUAUAUAUAUAUAGGAUUAUUCGAGAUGAAAAUACCAAACUCUCGAGGUACCUCCUGCAUGAAGAUUGAGGUCGGGAAAUCUCUAUAUGCAUAGGGUUAUUCGAGGUGAAAACACCAAGCUCCUGAAGUAUCUCCUGCAUGAAGAUCGAGGUGGGAAAGAUUUUUCGACCCGAUCUAACUGACGCUCAAAUUAAUAGCCCGAAGCGAAUGUGGAUACGAGUAGUAAAAAAAAGUAAACCCCCCAACUCAUCGUAUUGAAAACAAACUUUAUACAUAAUCACAAAGGGACAUAAUAUUCUGUGAAAUAUUAUAUGGGGAGGUCGCCUCUAACUACCUCCAAUAGUCUCUUCUUGGCCUUUUGGUCACUUGGGCGACAAAAGAGGAACAACCUUGGAUUGCUUGCCUUGGACUUGGUUUGGACUCUUGUCCACAUGGGUAGAUGGGUGGAAUGUGACAUGGACUACAUAUGGCAAUUACGUAUCAGAUGAUGUUUUUUUUUUUGGUAAAUUAUGUAUCAGAUAAUGAUUAGUUGAUACUGUAUUUCUUAUCAUUUGUCUCUUAUAAAGGCAUGUUUCGAGACUCUUGUAAGAGGGGUUCAAAGCACACGAGUACAUUCAGGAUCUCCUCUCGUAGGUUGGGUUUUCUUGCACCUCGAACAUAUUUUGCCUUACGCCUCCAUCGUGAUGGGUCUCACUUCACGCUAAUCGAAUUUUCUAGACUCACGCAUCGUGAGCAUAUUUUGACUUGCGUCACAGUUAUAACAAAUUUCUUCUCACAUGGAUUUUUUUAACUCACAUACCUUAGAAACAUUUUACCUUAUAACUCCAUCAUGAUAAAUUUCUUAUAAAGAUUGAAUUUUUUUAACUCAUAUGCCUCGGACAUAUUUUACUAUAUGCAUUUGUCAUGAUAGAUUUCUCCUUACGCGGGUCGGAUUUUUCUAACUCAUCUACCUUUAAUAUAUUUUUCCAAACUCCUGAUCUAAUAACUUGCUUCCUAAAUCAUUCUCAAAUAAGAUCCGUAUAUUUUCCAUGGUCAAUGGUGGUGGCGGUGGUGGUGGUGGGUGACUCCAAUUAUGUUGAGCGCUCUGUUUGGACUUUCUUCUCUAGAUGGCUUCCUUCGAAAUGCGACAAGUAAAGGUCGCGUCGUUGCUCGUCUUUCCAAGAAGUGGAGAAAGAGAGGGUGAUGUCGCUCGCUUGAUAGGACCACCUUCACCUAAACUUUAUGAAAAGAUGUCCAUGUCGAUUAGGAAUAGCAUUAGAAGUUUACCUUCAUAAAAACGUUCACAUACGACACAAUAGUGAUAGCAAAUUGGACAACCUAACCCAAUCCAUUCAUCUGAGCUUUAGCCCAACCCAAGAUGAAUUGGGUUAAACAAACCAUCAAGCCAAGAUUGGAUAUAUACACAGAGAGAGAGACAGAGAGAGAGAGAGAGGAAAGGGAGCAACAAAAGUCAUUCCAAGUCAAAACUAGUCUGAUCCCUACUCUUAGCUUAUUGUGAUCGGAGACAAUUCUGGCCCCAUUUGGUUCCCAUCGGCGAAUAUAGAGACAAAAGAUGCGUCAAAAUUUGUUGACCUUUAUUGCAGUGCUCGCCAUCCUGUUGGAUCCAAUCCACGUACCGAACAAAAUACGCUUUGCUGUAGCCAUGUGAACUGCACAGUAAGCAACGAUUACUUCUUGAGGAGGCGGAGCGGCGGAAGCUUUGUAUUACCUCGGUAGAUUUGCUUUCCUUUCUUCUUCUUUGCUUUAAUGUGGGUGUUUGCGCUACGUUAGCAGCAGCGCCAGCGUCACGUACAACAAGAGGCGACACGCCCCCAAGGCCGUACGCGAUCGGACGGCGUUGGGGAUGUAGCACUGCGCCCCCGCCUGGGUCGGCCGGCCGUCUGCGCUCCCCUGCAGCGUCGCCCCCGACUCGCACCACCCCGCCGGCUGAGUCAACCCCGUCACCCCUGCAGGCGGUGGCCCUGCAUCCGUCGACGUGCUCGCCUGUGUGGCGGAGAAACAUCGAUGAGUUGACCGUAGAAGCUUACGAGAAAAGAGAGUUCUUUGGUUACCGGCGCCGUGAUCGGGCUGGAGCUCGAGGUGGACUUGGCGAGGCCGGCGUCGUAGUUCAUGGUCUGGUCGGCGCGGUAGAGGCCGAAGGAGCGCUCCGAGGCAGGGCCGGGCUUGAGGUCCUCGUCGUAGAGCGCGAAGAUGUACGUGUCCACCGACCGCCCGGGCAUGAGCGGCGUCCCCACCAGUGACCGCAGGUGGGCCACCAGGUUCCCGUUGAAGGCCUUGGCGUUGUCCACCGAGGCACCCACCUCGUCCGGGUCCCCCUGGUACGGCCACCCCGUCUCCGCCACCACGAUCUCCACCUCCGGGAACCCUAGCGCGUCGAGCGCCGACCGCACGGCGUCCACCUGCGCGUCGAACAUGUUGGUGUACGUGAGCUUCGAACCCGCGUCGAGCCGGCCCGAGUUGGGCUGGAAGAGACAGAAGGCCAGCGUCUCCGGCCGCGGGUCGCUGCGGUAGGCGAAGAAGGGGUAGGGAUUGAUCAUGAAGGGCGACCCGGUGUCGCGCAGGAACCCGAGAAUCCCGGUGAGGUCGGCUGUGAUGUCCGGGUGGAAGGCGCCCGAGGAGGGAGGGUCCGACUGGGACAGCACGGCCAUGGUGUGGACGGUGGAGACCUUGACACCGGAGGCGGCCGCGGAGGCGGAAAGCGCGGAGCGGAGGUUCUGCAUAGCGGGAAGGAGAUUGGACGCGAGGGAGGAGUCACCCGAGUUGAGGGCCUCGUUGCCGACGGAGACGACGGAGAUGGAGGAGGCGGGAGCAUAGGGGAGGACAUUAGCGGCGACCCAAUUAGAGGCGGCGACGGGGUCGGAGGCGAGGGAGGCGAUGUCGGAGUUGGAGACGCCGAGGACGAGGGAGAUGUUAGUGCCGGCGAGGGACUGGAUGACGGCUGGGUCGGCGCCGUAGAGUCGGAACUUCGAAAUGGUGGUCGAUUGCAGCAGGCUCACGGUCUCCGAUGGCGGCGGCAGGUUGUCCGCCACCUGCCCGUAGUUCACCCCGAUGAACGACUGCGACUCUGUAAAGACUCAGCGAGGAAAUUAUGACCUGUCUCCUUUAACUUUUUCUUUUUCUUUCAGGACUCGGAAAAGGAAAAUUACUCAUUUUCUUGAAAAGAUGGAGAGAUCGUUCGAUAUAAAUUAUGGGAUUGAUUGAUGAUGGCGGCAUGUAUCGAGCACAGUUGGAAAAAUGGAAGAACCCAAUUCGACGAGACGAAGAGAUUGCAACAGUAACUCACGAAAGCAUUCAUCACCUUUAUUAUUCUCGAGAGAGAGAGAGAGAGAGAGAGAGAGAGAGAGAGAGN
rnacentral:lncRNA from 1 species